CUAAAAUUCGUAUCUUAUACCAUUGGAUUGGUCUAUGGCACUGCAAGUUGUUGAAAGCCAAAAUUAGAUCUGGUUAAGCUGUCUUUCCGGUUGUCAUUUUUCCAUGAUCCUAACAACCAAAACCAAUUUCGUACCUAACAUCUUUGUAUUCCAAUCUCUCUUCUCCUGUUGUCUUCUUCUUCCCGUUUCAUGCCUUGAAAGCUUCAACCUAGCUCGAGCCUAGAACUUGACCUCAUCCCCCAGCUCCUCCCAGCUUCCUUCCCCAUCGACAACAACCCUGGGAUACAUACAUACUUAUAUAUAUAUAUAUAUAUAGCCAUGAACCUAAAUUGCCUUACAUGCAAGUAUAAGGAGAGUAAUACAUCGGAGUCUGAGACAGAAUUUGACCGAUCAGGAGAAUGUUGUUGUGUAAAGGUGGAUCUGUUCUCGACAGGGAACAUUCAUCUGUUCUCCUACGAGAAUAUGAGAAGUGGAUUUGUAAAGCCGGGAGAGAAGAAGGUAAGGCUGGGUCAUCGUCGGACUUGUAGUGAAGGAGUUGUUGGAUUUGGAGGCGGCACAGAGCCCCGGUUGGUGAGGAGCUGUGGGAUGAGAAGGGAUUGGAGCUUGGAGGAUUUGGCACAUGGGGGAGAGAAAAAAGGGAGAAAAUAUUGACACAUGCAUGCAUGAUGCACUAAUUGAAGUCAAAUCUAAGGGUGGAUGGGAUCAUCAAUGUGGUUAUGAAAAUGACGUUUCAGUUAGGUCCUGUAUUCCAAAAUAUUCUCGGGUGUAAUUAGUUGUACUCGAUCAAUCAUUUCUAAAUCCAUUGCUAUUUAUAUUUUAGUUGAAAAAUCUUGCGUAGUGUCUUCUGCAAGAAGUGGUCAAGAAUUUUCGCGCCUUCAUCCCAGAAAAAGAAAGAAAGAAAGUGGCAAGACGCUGCACCGUUUGAGAUAUGAUCACCAUGUUUGUAUAAAUGAAUUGUGCAGUACUAGUGCAGUCAAGCUAAUCAAUGUUUAUGUAGGAUGUCAUGUUGUUGUGGGAAAAACAGUAUUUAUGUAUCCAGGUAACCAUAGAAAUGGUUUCAUGGCUAUAAUGAUGCUCUUUCCAUUAGUAUUCUUCAUGCUUAGAACUGUUACCAUGCUUAACUGUAGUCAUGUAAUGGUUUUGGUUUGACUAUCACCUGCCGUUGCUCUUUGGUGUUGUAUAGGAAUAGGGUUCUGACUCCAAAUCCUCUUGAAUGUACAGUUGCUUUUAUGGGGUAUACCCCUAAGAUAAUAAAACUCAGGAUUUGCCAGUGAUA